CAGACCUUUCCUGUGCUGCAGUUAAGCUGCUUCCCUGCUUCUAUAUCAAUUCUGAGGGUCUCCUGUCUUCCCAGAUGGAGAAACUGAGAUAGGGAGGUUAAAGAACUUCC